UACGUAGGGUGCGAGCGUUAAUCGGAAUUACUGGGCGUAAAGCGUGCGCAGGCGGUCUGUUAAGACCGAUGUGAAAUCCCCCGGGCUUAACCUGGGAACUGCAUUGGUGACUGGCAGGCUUUGAGUGUGGCAGAGGGAGGUAGAAUUCCACGUGUAGCAGUGAAAUGCGUAGAGAUGUGGAGGAACACCCGUGGCGAAGGCGACCGCCUGGCCCAACACUGACGCUGAGGUGCGAAAGCGUGGGUAGCAAACAGG
rnacentral:rRNA from 1 species